UACGUAGGGACCGAGCGUUGUCCGGAAUCAUUGGGCGUAAAGAGCGUGUAGGCGGUUUGUCGCGUCUGCUGUGAAAACUGGAGGCUCAACCUCCAGCCUGCAGUGGGUACGGGCAGACUAGAGUGCGGUAGGGGAGAUUGGAAUUCCUGGUGUAGCGGUGGAAUGCGCAGAUAUCAGGAGGAACACCAAUGGCGAAGGCAGAUCUCUGGGCCGUAACUGACGCUGAGGAGCGAAAGCAUGGGGAGCGAACAGG
rnacentral:rRNA from 1 species